rnacentral:lncRNA from 1 species
CCUCAAACACAGGCCACCAGUGGAACUCGGCUGUACCACUGCAGUGCUGCGGAAAUUGCCUUCACCAGCGGCUUUGCAACAGCUGUUUCGCAGCAUGUCGGAGACAAUGCCUACGAAAUUAUUGGCCCUGAUCAUGAGAGCCCUCAAGGGGCAAACAACAUCUCUGUUGCAGAAGUGAGCCCGAUACCACUUGGAAGUUACCAUGACAGAUGACACGGCACCAAUAGAUACAGAG